UACGUAGGGUGCAAGCGUUGUCCGGAAUUAUUGGGCGUAAAGAGCUCGUAGGCGGUUUGUCGCGUCUGCUGUGAAAAUCCGGGGCUCAACCCCGGACUUGCAGUGGGUACGGGCAGACUAGAGUGUGGUAGGGGAGACUGGAAUUCCUGGUGUAGCGGUGAAAUGCGCAGAUAUCAGGAAGAACACCGGUGGCGAAGGCGGGCUC
rnacentral:rRNA from 1 species